UUGUGCAAAAAUACUAAAGUAUAUUAUUAUUACCUUGACAGGUUUAUCGAAUAAACGCUGCUGGUAUCGUAAAUACGUACGACUUGGAAUUUUAUGGUGGUGGAAUUUAUGCAUUACGUGCAGUGAAUGACUGCCUCAUUGCUGUUUCUUGGCGCAGGUUGCAGAUUUGGCUUGGAGUAGUAAAGUGGAGUUUGAACGAGGGCUUGAGGACUGAGAAGUUUAGUGUUUCGACAAGAUACAUCGUAAAAUGUGUUAACAAUGCUUUCAACCAUGUGGCCUUGAUGGGUAAAUGAUUAUAUAUUAUUUUUAUUUAUUUAACCUCCAUUGCAUAGGGUGUAGUCGCCAAAUUUCUCGAGAAUUAGCCCAAAGGUCGGCAAGGGAGGAAAACUGGAGUUUCCGGCGAAAAGCACAGCUAGCAUUGUUUAUCUCAUGCUCCCUAACCUGCCGUAUACGCAUUCAUUGCGCUGCAUGUAUAGAGGCGUAGAAACGAGGUUGUUAGAAGCACCGUAGAGCACAACCACAGGGAAAUGACCCAACCCACGAAAAUAUCAUAGGAAAAUACCCUGUAGAGGCAACACCCUAACCAUAUCUGUCACCCGCGGCCCCUUCGAAGCAAUUUUUGCUGCAACUUGCAACACAAUUUUGGACAUAUUGAGCAAUGUUAUCUAAAAAGGAGUUGCAGGGAAAUGUUGCGCAUGACGCACGGUUUACUCUGCCGAGAUAUAUUAUGUAAAGAAAGUGUCGAUAAAGUAGAUUGCGGGCCAUGUUCACAAUUUCUGUGACAAUUAUUUAGAUUACGCGGAUAUAAAUCCAAGAUUGCUUUGCAAGUUGCAGCAAAAAUUGUCUCGUGUAACAUUUCCUUUACAUAUAACAAAUAUAAAACAUUUUCUGUGUUGAUAUACAGUUUAUCAACGCGAGUGGAAAUUGGGAAAACGAGAAAUUGUGCCCGGAGGGCAGGGUGUUUUCCCACAAUUUCGAGUUUCCCCAGUUGUUGAUACAACUACAGUAAAUAUCAAUACAGGAAAAAGUUUUACAUUUCUUUACAAUAUAGUACAAAGAAAUAUAAAGUACAACAUUAAAAUAACUUUUUAUUGUUGAAAUAGCUCUAAUAACUCGUCUAAAUCGCUUGCUUCUAAAUUUGCAAACUUUCUGUGGGUUUUCUCCGUCGUCUCCAAUGCGAAAAGCUUAAAAAAAAUUGACCAUUUUAAAAACGUUUUACUGAAAUUUCAGCAGUACGCUUUUAUAUUUAAAGAGCGGCGGGAAAUUUUCUGUGUUGGCAUUGAGUUAUGUCAACACGGUUCUUAGCCAAUCAACAUUCAGAAUUUACAAAUGCUAUAUUAUAAAUAUUAUAAUUUUUAGAUGGGAAAUCCAUGCUGAUUUGGAAUUUGGAAAGUGGAACGGUACUCCAUAGAGUUCCUUUUCACGCAAACCCACAUUAUAUCCGAGCGUUGGCAUUGGUGUCAGGAGGUGAAUUUCUUUUGUCGGCCGCUUUCGAUGAAAAUUCGCUGAAAUUGUGGAAUCUACGCAAUGGACUGUUUAUUGAAGAGUUUCAUUUCGACCAGGAUGUUUGGGUUAUAGCAUGUGCCUCAAAUGGGAUGAUUUGUGUCGGCUUAAAAGGUGGUCGGGUCUGCUUUCUGCGUUUUAAUAAUUUAUCCUCUCAUUCAGGACUUCAACAAUGAGGUUCAAGACUUGGGAGGGAGGGGGGGGGGGCGUCAAAACAAAUACCGGAUGUAGGGAUGUGAUAAAAUCUGAAACUGUGGGUUUCGGCGUUGGCUGUGACGUUGAACAGAAAAUAAUUUACAUUGAAUGGCUGUCGAGAAAUAUUUCUUCAAACACUCAUUAAUAAUUUAUAAGCAUAUUGGCAAAUCAUGCCAAUCAUAAUAUGUCACGUGCAGCGGCUUUAAACCUGAUAAAACUCUCCUAAUUAGUAUUCUUUAUAUAAAGAAUACUAAUAAGGCAGUAUAUGUCUAUUGAAUUUGGAGUCGUGUUUGAAGCGAUUUAAUAAACUCGCAGGUAGUGUUUUAUUAGGUAUAAAGCUUUAAACCAAAUAAAACACUGUGUUCUGCUCGUUUAUUGAACAGUCCCACAGGAAAAGUUGACAGGGUCCGGUGGGUUAGGCAAAAAGGGCCCACAGCAAUAGACCUUUCCCCUUUUAUGUGAAAUUUUGAUCUAGACAAGUCUGGACAACAAUUUCAUUACAGCUUGAAAGAGCAUCACAAAAUUAGUAAUAUUCCGAAGUUUCGUUGCGAAAUGUUGUAAAAUGCGGAUAAUAUAGCCUUGCGAAGUUUGCCGUUUUUUAGUCAUUUUGUAUUAAUACAAACGGGAUAGUGAUAAUCAGUUUGAUCAUCUGAUAUUUCGCAUUUUACAACAUUUUGCAACGAAACUUUGGAAUAUUGCUAAUUUUGUGAUGCUCUUUCAAGCUGUGAUGAAAUUUUUGUCCAGGCUAGUCUAGAUCAAAAUUUCACUUAAAAGGGGGAACGGCCAUUAGCAUAUGCUGUUGUGGUAAGUUGGCAAAGCUAAUUUAAAAAAAAAAUACUUCAAGGUUUAUAAUCAAAGCGGCCGUCAUCGCUGAACCCCCACCAGGAACAAAGUUUCUCAACUUCCUCAACAGCUUACAAAAUGUUCUUUGCAUCAGUAACACAUAAACUUGCAUACCAAAGACAUCAGAAUUUAUCGGUAGAAAUAAUAAAAUCAAACGACAAUGAAGCGAUAUUCUUAUUAUCACACUUUGUGUAUCCUUGUUUUGCCGAAAGACAUCACGGAACGCCUUGAAACCAUGAAUGUCGACGAUUAACUAAUUUAAAUCUUCACACUAUUCCAUUUAGGUUUAUAUACUUAGUUUCUUGUGAAUAGCACGUUGUAGUUUCUAUGUAAAGCAUGAGCAAAGCCUGUACGUAUUAAAGUCAUGCCAUGCAAUAAAGAAAAUAAACACAAUACAAAUACAGAUUUGUUUUGGACUCUGCUGCAGCGCCCGAAAUAACGUUUAAUUUAAU